GAGAGGGACGUUGUUUCUUUUACAUGCAGAUAUUCUGGCACGGAAACAGCACUAUUUGAACCUUAGCAAUUUUCUGGCACGAGCAGUAUCAAAAGCAUCCUCCAUGGAUGAGAGGAAGGAGAGCAGUCCCUGCGAUUACACUGGCAAUUGCCCAUCUGCUUCAGAAGGUGGUGUUUAACCUGCAGGUGUAUAACUUGGGUGCAUUCUUGAACAACUUCUCUGCCUUCCCUCGGACUUGAUGUGCAAGGUGGUUGUCAAGAGCGCAACCAUGAAUCAUGAAGCCAACCCAUUACUUCCUUGGGCUCCAAGAAAAUAGCUUCAUCCUUAUUCCAUAUUUGGCUGAAUAAUUUUAUAAAGGAAAUAAUGAUGACAGACAAACAAAUGAAGAAAGCAUGUGGUAUAAUGGUAGGUAACUU